rnacentral:rRNA from 1 species
GCAGCAGUGGGGAAUUUUGGACAAUGGGGGCAACCCUGAUCCAGCCAUGCCGCGUGAGUGAAGAAGGCCUUAGGGUUGUAAAGCUCUUUCACCCGUGACGAUGAUGACGGUAGCGGGAGAAGAAGCCCCGGCUAAUUCCGUGCCAGCAGCCGCGGUAAUACGGAGGGUGCAAGCGUUAAUCGGAAUCACUGGGCGUAAAGCGCACGUAGGCGGCCCGUUAAGUCAGAUGUGAAACCCCUGGGCUCAACCUGGGAAUGGCAUUUGAUACUAGCGCGCUCGAGUCUGAUAGAGGGGGGUGGAAUUCCAGGUGUAGCGGUGAAAUGCGUAGAUAUCUGGAGGAACACCGGUGGCGAAGGCGGCCCCCUGGAUCAUGACUGACGCUGAGGUGCGAAAGCGUGGGGAGCAAA